UACAGAGGUCUCAAGCGUUGUUCGGAUUCAUUGGGCGUAAAGGGUGCGUAGGUGGCGCCAUAAGUCGGGUGUGAAAUCUCGGGGCUUAACUCCGAAACUGCAUUCGAUACUGCCGUGCUUGAGGACUGGAGAGGAGACUGGAAUUUACGGUGUAGCGGUGAAAUGCGUAGAUAUCGUAAGGAAGACCAGUGGCGAAGGCGGGUCUCUGGACAGUUCCUGACGCUGAGGCACGAAGGUCAGGGGGAGCAAAACGGGG
rnacentral:rRNA from 1 species